GUGGCUUAUAAGAGGUGGUAGCUUCCGGGAGUGUCACCUUCCCAGAAACCCCGGCAAAUCCGCCGUCGAGUUUUUAUUGGUCCAACCGGGUCACAGACCCCGGCCCGUCUGGUUAGGUGGGAUCCCUGAUUGGGCCAAACCUCUCAGGUCCCGCCCCUAGAGCGUCGCUUUUCUUUCCGCUGCGCGGAGGCCGCUUGGCUGGAGAGGGAGGGGACGUUGUGUGGGGUGGAAACACAAGGUUAUCUGAGGGAAGCAACUCCAUGGGCCUUGCCAUGCCUGCCUCAGCACAGGAGGGCAGUGCUGAGCUAAGGGCUGUCACUGACUGCCCCUGCGGGAUCCAGACACCCCACCCGGCAGCUUGCUAGAUAAGCAGGCAGAUAAGCAACUGGAUCCUGCCAUUGUUUGCCUGAGCAGAGGAAGAGGAAGACGGACAGCCCACAGCCCCUCUGCCUGCCAAGGGUACUGCCUUCUUCAACAUUCAGCCCAAAGCAAGUGGUCUACAUUUGCUGUGGCUGGGAGAAAAAAUAAACACAGAAACUGUGAACUGAUAUGUUAGGUUGCUAAGGAAAGAGCUGCUUACAGCUUGGGGAACUAAAAGGACACUCACAUUUUGUCUUGUCUUUUAACUCUUUCUUCUUCAGUAUCAUUAGGGGUGCUCCUGGGAUCACUACUGGAAAGGGAUGAGAAAGACACAGAGCAAUGUAGAGAGAGCGUGCUGACUGCUGAGACCGCUGCCCACUCUAUGGGGACUUUGAAGGCUGAGAUAACCCUUCAGAGUUGUCUUGGAGGGACAAGGGGCCCAGGCUCUCAUGGCCCCCAUUGAGCAGUCUGGGGAUGCCAUCCCGGAAGAAGGCGUAACUUUGGGUGGGGGGCUCUCUCCAGGCCAGACAAUCCUGGAGGAAUUGACCAUGCAGCUGGGGGCUCUGGAGCUGGGGCUAUGCUUGUCAUUCCUGAAACCGGUUUGAGGGAUGCAUCAGUUGCAGAGUCCUCUGCACACCUUUCCCGAUAUCUCGGCAUCUCUUAAGGUUUAAGUUAUGUCUAUUAGGAACUAGAAGCUCUCUGCUUCUCUGCAGAUGCCCUGGUUGCCUCCAUAGACAUCAUUCUUUGUUAGCAUCACCAACUUUGUCCACCCAGGGUCACAAAAUUUUGCAUAGAAGCUCCAUUGUCUGAAAUUCUCAAGAAUAACUGUGUCCUGAUCCCACUGGGGAAGCUGAGGUGGAUAGGUCAGGCAGCAGCAGCCAAUCGAGGUAGGAGGAGUUGCUUCUGGUCUGGUCCAAUUAGUAGAACUGGACAGUGCCCUUUGCAGUGUCCAGACAGAAGACUCUAAGGUUCUGCUUGGACCCAGGCAGGGAUGGGAGCAUGAUAUACCACAUGGCAUAUGGUUCAAUGGGCAGCUCUCAGACAUGAACACUGGUUACCACCAAGUUGAAGCUUUCCUGGCAUCUGUCUUUGGUCCUAGAACCAUCCUGUGGGGGUAAAGGGAAGUCUGGUCCAUUUUUUGGGCCAGACUUUUUUAAGACUACCGUAAUAGUCUUCAGAUACACAAAUACUGAAUCUCUGAUUCCAUCUUGUUUUGUCAUCAGACUCUGUAAAGUGGGAGCAUGCUAUAGUGAGGGAGAGGAGAGGGGAGUUGGAAAGAUAACUAAGAGCUUAUUGGAUACGAUUUAGAUACUUUUCUCUCAAAAUGUGAUGAAAAGUGCUUUUUGUUUUCUUUCUUUUCUCUUUUUGCCCUUGUUAUUCAUGUAAAAUGUACAUACAUAAAGUGUGCAAAUUAAUAGAUCUAUAGAUCACUUUGUGUGUAUUGCCAUCUCAACAAUAUUAAGUCUUCCAAUCCAUGAACAUAGGACGUCUUUCAUUUGCUUAGGUAUUCUUCAAUUUAUUUCAGUAAAGUUUUCUAGUUUUCAGUGUACAAGUGUUGCUCCUCCUUGGUUAAAUUUAUUACUAAGCAUACUAUUUUUUGAUACUAUAGUAAAUGGCAUUGUUUUUAAAUUUUCAUUUCAGGUUAUUUAUUAAUAAUGUAUAGAAAUACAACUUUUUGUUGAUUUGGUAUUCUGCAACUUUACUGAAUGCUUUUAUUAGCUUUAAUAGUUUUUAAUGGAUUCUUUGGCAUUUUUCUAUUUAUCAGAUUAUUUCACCCGUGAAUAGAAAUGAUUUACUUCUUGUUCUUUAAUCUGAAUGCUGUUGUGAGCUGAAUUGUAUUCCUCCAAAUUCAUAUUCCUCCAGCACUUCAGAAUAUGAUUGUAUUUGAAAACAGAUCCUUUAAAGAGGUAAUAUGAUGCUAUAUGGGUGUAUCCUAAUCUAAUCUGACUGGUGUCCUUGCAAGAAGAGAAAAUUUGAACACACAAGGAGACACCAGGGGUGCACACGCACAGAAGGUGACCAUGUGAAAAGGCAGAAAUAAGGUAGUCAUCUGCAAGCCAAGGAGAGAGGCCUCAACAUCAAGAGAAACCAACCCUGAUGACACAUUGAUCUUGUACUUCUGGCCUCCAGAACUAUAAGAAAAUAAAUGUCUGCUAUUUAAGCCACCCAGUCUUUGCAACUUUGUUGCUGAACAAACUAGUUAACUAAUACAGAUACCUUUGUUUUAUUAUUGAAUAAUAACAUUGAUGCCCCAGGAAAUUGUGCAUUGUCUAUUUUGUGCCCCAGGUACCCAAGCCAAGUAAAAGAGGAUUUCGAAAAUAUUGUGAUAAAAUGGAAUUAAAGAUAAAAAUUUAUUUCUCAACAUAAGCAAGAUGAAGAAACUUUUGAAACCAGUGAUACAAGCUGUUCAGUCCAUCCCUAAAAAAACUGAGGGUCCUGGGAAUUUAAGCAUGUUAAUCAGGUUUUUAAAACAUAAUUAACUGAAAAAAUGGGUGCCCUUUAAAGAUUUUUUAACAUUAGAAAAAAAAGAAGGAAGAGGAGCCAAACUAGGCCUGUGAAGUGAGUGCCUAAUGAUUUCCCACUGAAGCUGUGGCAAAAUUGCCCUUGUUUACUGAGAGAAAUGAGCAGGACCAUUGUCAUGGUGGAUAAGGGCUCUCUCAUGAAGUUUUCUUAGGCAUUUUUCUGCUAAAGCUUUGGCUAACUUUCUCAAAAUACUCUUAUAAUAAGUAAAUGUUAUAAUUCUCUGGCCCCCCAGAAAGUCAAAAAGCGAAAUGCCUUGAGCAUCUCAAAAACUAUUGCCAUGACUUUUGCUCUACAUUGGUCCACUUUUGCUUUGACUGGAUCCCCUCCAUCUUUUGGUAGCUGUUUUGGUAAAUUGUGAUUCAUCUUCAAGAUUGUACUGGUAGAGCCAUAUUUCAUGUCCUGUAAUAACCCUUUGAAGAAAUGCUUCAGGAUGGAGAUCCCAUUUGAUUAGAAUUUCCGUGAAAACCUCUGUUCUUGUCUGCUGCUGAUCUGGGUGCAAGAGUUUUGGCACCCACUGAGUAGAAAAUUUACUCAACUUUAAUUUUUCAGACAGAAUUUUGUAAACUAAACUAAUUGAGGUGUCUACUGUGUUGACUAUUUUUGUGUAGUUAAUCAUUGGUCCUCUUCAGUUAGGACGUGAACAAGAUGAAUAUUUUUCUCACAAAUUAAUGUUGGAUGCUUUACUAUCACGGGCUUCAUUUUCAGCAUUGUCUUGUCUGUUCUUAAAUGAGUUAUCCAUUUGCAAACUGCUGAUUUCUUUGGGUCAUUGUCCCUAUGAAAUUUUCAUAAAGCAUCCAUGUUUCACCAUUCUUCCACUCAAGCUUCACUACAAAUUUGAUGUGUUUUGGGUCUUUUCUGCUCAGAGACCUUUCUCUCCAUAUAGAGAGAGCUGUUCCUUUUUCUCUUCUCUUCUGCCUAUUAAGCCUCUGCUCCUAAACUCUUCAUUUGUGUCUGUUUCCUAAAUUUCCCUGGUGCAUAUGAACCCCAGGGUAUAUACCCCAGACAAUGUAACCAUUUCAUAUUGGGGACCUCAUCUGGAAUAUCAAGGUACAACAUUCAUCAAAAUGUGAUAAAAGUUACAGGUAUCAAUGUCUGGAUACAUCAUACUCCAGUCAAAGCCUAGAACGCUGAUGGAGCAACCCUUGACAGCCCAGAUAAACAUCCUGGAUACCAAUUUGAAGAAAUAGGAGAUCUUAGGUGACAAUCAUAAAGGACAAAUAAAUGAGCAAGGGCUACUCAUCCCACUCAGUCCCACCUUUACUUUCCGUCAUUUCUACUUUUCCCCUCGAGAUGUGCUGUCAGAUAUUAAAACUUAUUUUUGAUGCA